UGUGAUGGGUUUUUUACUUUGGCCGGAAGGGUUGAGAGAGGGCCUUCCCAAAUGACCGAUCGGUCAUUUUUCCGAAAAGUCCUGGCUCAGCCCAGACCAGGCAGGUGGACGUGUAGCGGCCCUUUUCGAAAGUCCUGGUUCAGCCCAGACCAGGCAGGCGGACGUGUAGCGGCCCUUUUCGAAUAUGCA